rnacentral:rRNA from 1 species
GACGAACGCUGGCGGCGUGCCUAACACAUGCAAGUCGAGCGGUAAGGCCCUUUCGGGGGUACACGAGCGGCGAACGGGUGAGUAACACGUGGGUGACCUGCCCUUAGCUCUGGGAUAAGCCUGGGAAACUGGGUCUAAUACCGGAUAUGACUCCAUGACGCAUGUUGUGGGGUGGAAAGCCUUGUGCGGCUAGGGAUGGGCCCGCGGCCUAUCAGCUUGUUGGUGGGGUGAUGGCCUACCAAGGCGACGACGGGUAGCCGGCCUGAGAGGGCGACCGGCCACACUGGGACUGAGACACGGCCCAGACUCCUACGGGAGGCAGCAGUGGGGAAUCUUGCGCAAUGGGCGAAAGCCUGACGCAGCGACGCCGCGUGAGGGAUGACGGCCUCGGUU